rnacentral:rRNA from 1 species
GACGAACGCUGGCGGCGUGCUUAACACAUGCAAGUCGAACGGUAAGGCCCUUCGGGGUACACGAGUGGCGAACGGGUGAGUAACACGUGGGUGAUCUGCCCUGCACUUCGGGAUAAGCCUGGGAAACUGGGUCUAAUACCGGAUAGGACUCCGGACUGCAUGGUCUGGGGUGGAAAGCUUUUGCGGUGUGGGAUGGGCCCGCGGCCUAUCAGCUUGUUGGUGGGGUGAUGGCCUACCAAGGCGACGACGGGUAGCCGGCCUGAGAGGGUGACCGGCCACACUGGGACUGAGAGACGGCCCAGACUCCUGCGGGAGGCAGCAGUGGGGAAUAUUGCACAAUGGGCGCAAGCCUGAUGCAGCGACGCCGCGUGAGGGAUGACGGCCUUCGGGUUGUAAACCUCUUUCAGCAUCGACGAAGCGAAAGUGACGGUAGGUGCAGAAGAAGGACCGGCCAACUACGUGCCAACCGCCGCCGUAA